CGUGCGUGUUAUGCAGGUGCCUCCCCGUGCUCUUGUGAGUGGCUGAGGCGGCGAGGUAGGAGAUGGCGGCGUCCGCGGAACAGGCGCGGGCUUUAUUCGGAGUCGGUGUUCGGGCGGUGCUGGAGGCCUGGCCGGCGCUGCAGAUUGCGGUGGAGAACAGCUUCGGGGGAGUUCACAGCCGCGAGAAGGCCCUGUGGCUAGGGCGAGUGGUCGAGGACUAUUUCUUACUGAACGCCGACCUGGAGCAGGAGGAGGUGGAGGACUUCCUGUCGGACAUCAUGAGCACCGAAUUUGAUACUCUGAUAGAAGAUGGAAGCCUGCCGCAGGUGAGCCAGCAGCUCCAGACUAUGUUCAGAUACUGCCAGAGAGGUGAGGAGACUUUGCUGAGACAGUUCAUCAGUCAGCUGGGCCAGAAACAAUUGGAAGUCAGAGCCACAGCCACAACUAUGGCUACGGAGGUCCAGGCAGUCGACCAGACCAAAGACGCCGUCUCAGACAAGGAGGGAAGAAUAGAUGAGGGAGCUGAAGAGAUGGAGGAUGCAGGCAAGGGCCCAGGGCCACUCUUAAAUCCUGGAAUGCCCUCCUAGGCCUAGUUCUCCUCAUGCCAUUCUGCAUUUAUGACCUGGAAUUGAGUAGUACACAACAAAGCUACCAGUUGGCACUUGUUCCUGCAUCCCUUCAGGAGGUCAGUUCCUUCUCUUUGGGUCUGGUGCACAGCAUUGAUUCUUUUUCAGUCCCUGCCUUGGAAAGCUCUGAGGCACUCCUGGCAAGACCCCUAUCUGCAGUGUCUACAGAAAUAUCUGUCUCCAUAGGCUGAUCUGGAAAAAUGACUUGCUGUGAUUUGUAUUUUCUUGGUUUACUUGGUCUGGACUCAAUUUCGGGCAUUUUCUGGAUCUUUGUGGAAGAGUUGGUGAGGUAGAGCUCUGCCAUCAAGGCUCUGCCUCUACCAAGACUCUUUCUGAUCACUGUUUCCUCCUCUAGAUUUUUAGUAAUCUUGAUAACCCUUUGAAGAAGUUCUAGAAUUUUGCCAGGAAUUGAGCUCAAACCCAUUGAUUUGUUCAUGCACUUCAUUUCUUAGCAUCUUUAGAAAGUUGGACCUUCUCGAGUCUCCUGGUGCUUCUUCCAUCGUACAGGACCUGCUCGCAGUCACCAGUUCAUUGUCCUCCAUGGCUCAGCACAGGUGACUGAAAGUAGGGAGUCUCCUGCCCUGCCUUAUGGUUCCCAGGCUGGUCCAUCAGCUACCACUAGCCUGACUACUGUUGGGCCUGAAGCUGCAGAAGAUGGUUGGAUUGUCAUCCGAAGGAAAAAGAAGUGAGAGCCUAACUUUUUCCCAGUGGGCUAGGCCUGG